rnacentral:snRNA from 1 species
GUGCUCACUUCAGCAGCACAUAUACUAAUAUUGGAACGAUACAGAGAAGAUUAGCAUGGCCCCUGUGCAAGGAUGACAUGCAAAUUCGUGAAGCGUUCCACAUUUUU